UACAGGGGGGGCAAGCGUUGUUCGGAAUUACUGGGCGUAAAGGGUUCGUAGGUAGCUCGCUAAGUCAGACGUGAAAUCCCUCAGCUUAACUGGGGAACUGCGUCUGAUACUGGCGAGCUUGAGUGCAGGAGAGGAACGCGGAAUUCCAGGUGUAGCGGUGAAAUGCGUAGAUAUCUGGAGGAACACCGGUGGCGAAGGCGGCGUUCUGGACUGCAACUGACACUGAUGAACGAAAGCCAGGGGAGCAAACGGG
rnacentral:rRNA from 1 species